rnacentral:lncRNA from 1 species
UUUUGAGUUUGUUUUUUAUCAUAAAGUUAGUGGCUAUUUGGUGGGGUUACCGUCGCAAGGCAUGCAACCUCGGGUUUCCAUUUUUGUUUCUUUCCAGGUCGACAUUGUUCGACUGCUAAAUUCAGAGGCUGCUAGUUAUCCUCCAUUUUGAAUCUUUUUUUGUUACACCAUAUCGUUUAACAGGUGCCACUAGUAUAAAACAAG